AGUCGAACGAUGAUGGGAGCUUGCUCCUGGAUUAGUGGCGAACGGGUGAGUAACACGUGAGUAACCUGCCCUUAACUCUGGGAUAAGCCUGGGAAACUGGGUCUAAUACCGGAUAUGACUCCUCAUCGCAUGGUGGGGGGUGGAAAGCUUUAUUGUGGUUUUGGAUGGACUCGCGGCCUAUCAGCUUGUUGGUGAGGUAAUGGCUUACCAAGGCGACGACGGGUAGCCGGCCUGAGAGGGUGACCGGCCACACUGGGACUGAGACACGGCCCAGACUCCUACGGGAGGCAGCAGUGGGGAAUAUUGCACAAUGGGCGCAAGCCUGAUGCAGCGACGCCGCGUGAGGGAUGACGGCCUUCGGGUUGUAAACCUCUUUCAGUAGGGAAGAAGCGAAAGUGACGGUACCUGCAGAAGAAGCGCCGGCUAACUACGUGCCAGCAGCCGCGGUAAUACGUAGGGCGCAAGCGUUAUCCGGAAUUAUUGGGCGUAAAGAGCUCGUAGGCGGUUUGUCGCGUCUGCCGUGAAAGUCCGGGGCUCAACUCCGGAUCUGCGGUGGGUA
rnacentral:rRNA from 1 species